UCUCUCUCAAAAAUAAAUAAAUGUUAAAAAAAAUUAAGACUUCAGCUAUGACUCUGGCAACUUCCAUCAGUUGGUGAUAAUAAAAUAGAUCAGUUGCAACUUCAGUAUUUUUAGGGGAGGCAUGGAAACCUGAUGGUAGGAGGAGGAUCUUGAAUAAGUUUCCAAACUGAAAAAGAACACAGGGGCCCAGUAGCUUCCUGUCUCGAAAAUAAUGUUGCUUGUCUUCUUUCUAUCAGCAUAUUUUACUUUGCCUUUUAUGGAUCAAUAUAUCAUUAUAUAUAGACAGUAUUAUGGGAAGCAGUUCUUUUCAAAAUUGUCUUUGUUGUGUCCUAAUAGAAAAUUCUGCCUUGUGGCAUGUCUGUAUUGCUAGAGAAGACAGCCCAAAUGCAUCUUCUCCAGCAACUUGUAAACAAGAUGUCUUACGUUGAUUAAUUACUGAUGAAAAUCCUGAAUGAUUAGCACCUUUUACAUAUACAAGCAUCCUGCCUGGCCCCUGUGGGAAACUAACUGACUCUAAAGAACUAAGUCUCAGCCAGAGGUAUAGAAGUUGCUGUUUGCAGCCUCUAGAACCACAGUGGUUGUGGGGGUGGGAGCAGCGGUAAUGACUAGAACUAAUAAAUCACCUCUAUCCGGCAGUUGUACUGUCAUAAUUCACAGUGACUCUACCUCUAAUCAGCAACAUAUUUUACUACUCCCAAGACACCCACAAAGUUACAUUACAUGACUGACUCUUCACACACUCUAGCCUUAAUCGUAGGGCUCCCAUAAAGUCAUGAGACUGUCAUCUUCAUGACUUCAUGUGAGGGGUUCCAGGGACACUUCCACGUCCACAUGUUCUUCUCCCAUGAGUCUGCUACUGCACUUGAACUCUGCUACUGGAGACUUAGUGACUUCAUGUAUUGUUUUCAUUCGUUUAUCAUUCAUUUCCCCC